GAUUAACGCUGGCGGCGUGCCUAACACAUGCAAGUCGAACGAGGUAGCAAUACCUAGUGGCAGACGGGUGAGUAACGCGUGGUCAACCUACCGUUGAGUGGGGGAUAACUAGCCGAAAGGUUAGCUAAUACCGCAUACGUCUCCGAGUGGCAUCACUUGGCGAUAAAAGGAGCAAUCCGCUCGAUGACGGGACCGCGUCCCAUUAGCUAGAUGGUGGGGUAACGCCUACCAUGGCACCGAUGGGUAGCUGGUUUGAGAGAGCGACCAGCCACACUGGGACUGAGAAACGGCCCAGACUCCUACGGGAGGCAGCAGUGAGGAAUUUUCCGCAAUGGGCGCAAGCCUGACGGAGCGACGCCGCGUGUGGGAAGAAGGCCUUCGGUCGUAAC
rnacentral:rRNA from 1 species